UGGGGAAUAUUGCACAAUGGGCGCAAGCCUGAUGCAGCCAUGCCGCGUGUAUGAAGAAGGCCUUCGGGUUGUAAAGUACUUUCAGCGGGGAGGUAGGGAGUAAAGUUAAUACCUUUGCUCAUUGACGUUACCCGCAGAAGAAGCACCGGCUAACUCCGUGCCAGCAGCCGCGGUAAUACGGAGGGUGCAUGCGUUAAUCGGAAUUACUGGGCGUAAAGCGCACGCAGGCGGUUUGUUAAGUCAGAUGUGAAAUCCCCGGGCUCAACCUGGGAACUGCAUCGUAUACUGGCAAGCUUGAGUCUCGUAGAGGGGGGUAGAAUUCCAGGUGUAGCGGUGAAAUGCGUAGAGAUCUGGAGGAAUACCGGUGGCGAAGGCGGCCCCCUGGACGAAGACUGACGCUCAGGUGCGAAAGCGUGGGGAGCAAACAGG
rnacentral:rRNA from 1 species